rnacentral:rRNA from 1 species
GAACAAAUGUGUAAGUAACUGUGCACAUCUUGACGGUACCUAACCAGAAAGCCACGGCUAACUACGUGCCAGCAGCCGCGGUAAUACGUAGGUGGCAAGCGUUAUCCGGAAUUAUUGGGCGUAAAGCGCGCGUAGGCGGUUUUUUAAGUCUGAUGUGAAAGCCCACGGCUCAACCGUGGAGGGUCAUUGGAAACUGGAAAACUUGAGUGCAGAAGAGGAAAGUGGAAUUCCAUGUGUAGCGGUGAAAUGCGCAGAGAUAUGGAGGAACACCAGUGGCGAAGGCGGCUUUCUGGUCUGCAACUGACGCUGAUGUGCGAAAGCGUGGGGAUCAAACAGGAUUAGAUACCCUGGUAGUCCACGCCGUAAACGAUGAGUGCUAAGUGUUAGGGGGUUUCCGCCCCUUAGUGCUGCAGCUAACGCAUUAAGCACUCCGCCUGGGGAGUACGGUCGCAAGACUGAAACUCAAAGGAAUUGACGGGGACCCGCACAAGCGGUGGGAGCAUGUGGUUUAAUUCGAAGCAACGCGAAGAACCUUACCAAAUCUUGACAUCCUUUGACCGCUCUAGAGAUAGAGUU